rfam:Trichobilharzia regenti genome assembly, scaffold: TRE_scaffold0068712
AUCCAGAUGACGAGUCCCAAAUAGGACAGGUAAAAUGCAUAUUAUCCUGGAU